rnacentral:snRNA from 1 species
AGCUUUGCACAGUGGCAGUAUCAUAGCCAAUGAGGUUUAUCCAAGGCACAAUUAUUGCUGGUUAUUGCUAAUUGAAAACAAGAAUUAUUUUACAUUGUCUGGUGGAAUAUUCAGUGUAUAUGCAGAGCAACUGAAAUUCUUAUGCAUUUCUGGUAGAAA